rnacentral:rRNA from 1 species
GAUGAACGCUAGCGGCAUGCCUUACACAUGCAAGUCGAACGGCAGCACGGGAGCUUGCUCCUGGUGGCGAGUGGCGAACGGGUGAGUAAUAUAUCGGAACGUGCCCAGUCGUGGGGGAUAACGUAGCGAAAGCUACGCUAAUACCGCAUACGAUCUAUGGAUGAAAGCGGGGGAUCGCAAGACCUCGCGCGAUUGGAGCGGCCGAUAUCAGAUUAGGUAGUUGGUGAGGUAAAGGCUCACCAAGCCGACGAUCUGUAGCUGGUCUGAGAGGACGACCAGCCACACUGGGACUGAGACACGGCCCAGACUCCUACGGGAGGCAGCAGUGGGGAAUUUUGGACAAUGGGCGCAAGCCUGAUCCAGCAAUGCCGCGUGCAGGAUGAAGGCC